rnacentral:tRNA from 1 species
GGUAGUAUGGCUGAAAAUAGCGGUAGGCUGUAAACCUACACACAGGUUCCCCCUUGCUGCCA